GGUUGACCUCGGAUCAGGUAGGGAUACCCGCUGAACUUAAGCAUAUCAAUAAGCGGAGGAAAAGAAACCAACAGGGAUUGCCCCAGUAACGGCGAGUGAAGCGGCAAAGAGCUCAAUUUGAAAGCUGGCUCCUUCGGGGUCCGCAUUGU
rnacentral:rRNA from 1 species